UCAGGUCCCUUCCGACCCUAGAAACUAUGAAACUAUGAGUUUGUGGCUGUUUCUAGAUUUCCCCCAGGGCGCCCUGGGGAACAGUUGUUCACCGAGCCCCUGAUAUACACCUCUGAUAUAGUGGUAAGCUACAGUCAGGUCCCCCUCAGCU